rnacentral:tRNA from 1 species
UGUAACUCAGUGGUAGAGUGCUUGUGUAGCAUGCAUGUGGCCCUGGGUUCCAUUCCCAGCA